GACGAACGCUGGCGGCGUGCCUAAUACAUGCAAGUCGAGCGCAAGAAACUGACGGAACUCUUCGGAGGGAAGGCAGUGGAAUGAGCGGCGGACGGGUGAGUAACACGUAAGGAACCUGCCUCACGGAUUGGGAUAACUCCGAGAAAUCGGAGCUAAUACCGGAUAGUUCAUCGGACCGCAUGGUCCGCUGAUGAAAGGCGCUUCGGCGUCACCUUGAGAUGGCCUUGCGGUGCAUUAGCUAGUUGGUGAGGUAACGGCCCACCAAGGCGACGAUGCAUAGCCGACCUGAGAGGGUGAUCGGCCACACUGGGACUGAGACACGGCCCAGACUCCUACGGGAGGCAGCAGUAGGGAAUCUUCCACAAUGGACGAAAGUCUGAUGGAGCAACGCCGCGUGAGUGAUGAAGGUUUUCGGAUCGUAAAACUCUGUUGUAAGGGAAGAACACGUACGAGAGGGAAUGCUCGUACCUUGACGGUACCUUACGAGAAAGCCACGGCUAACUACGUGCCAGCAGCCGCAGUAACAC
rnacentral:rRNA from 1 species